CGUGCGGCCCCAAAUCCCCCACGGCUGCGGGAGGAGGCGGAACCGCCCCGUUCCUCCGCUCGUGGUUGUGCAAAGGCGGCGCUGACGGCCGAACGCGUCGCGUUUUCUUAAUUUGCACUAUUAGUAGAAGUGGAGAAGUGAAACAUGGCUGUGACAAAGGGAGGGGAAAGCCGGCACCGCAGAUUCCUGCUUUCGGGCCGACGUCACCCGGUCCUCGUGGAUCACGGCGGGGAGUUUCCCAGCUGGCAGCGAGGGCUAUAAGACGCUGGUAGGGAUGGGGUGCGGCCGCACAGAUCGCAUAUGGGCACAUCGACCUUCGCGAUGUGGAGAGCUCUGCUGUGCAUCCACGCUGUCCUGUCUGCGACCCCGCACAAGGCAGGAUUGAUUUCAUCUUCGUCUCAUAGCAGCCGACUCCAGGGAUUCCACACCCAGGAAGCGCCUACGAACAAUGGUCAUCUCAUUGAGAAGGUCUGCUUCCAUGGGUAGAGCCCACAGCCCAGCUGGGAGAGCCAGAACAGCGACUUUGCUGACACUUCCUCGCUCCCCCUUUGCACCACCGCUCCUCAGCGGCUCCAGGAGACAGAAAGAGGUUGGUGAGAGUUGGCUGCAAUGUCAUCUGCAGCCCAGCUGGUGUGGGACACUCGACGGGAGGGGAAAGGAGCUCUGCUCUUCAGCUUCUCGUCGUGGUGUUUCAUGGUUGGGAGGCACCAAACUCCCGUAAAAACACUGUCCCUGUUUGCUCUGCUUUGCACUUCUCACGGGACAGAAAGUUUGGUAUUUCUGUACACUGCUUACUGUCUGUCUUAUUCAAAGCAACAAAAAUAAACACCAUUAAGUCUG